rnacentral:rRNA from 1 species
CCUACGGGUGGCAGCAGUGAGGAAUAUUGGUCAAUGGGCGUAAGCCUGAACCAGCCAAGUCGCGUGAGGGAUGAAGGUUCUAUGGAUCGUAAACCUCUUUUAUAAGGGAAUAAAGUGUGGGACGUGUCCUGUUUUGUAUGUACCUUAUGAAUACGGAUCGGCUAACUCCGUGCCAGCAGCCGCGGUAAUACGGAGGAUCCGAGCGUUAUCCGGAUUUAUUGGGUUUAAGGGGGGCGUAGGCGGCCUUUUAAGUCAGCGGUGAAAGUCUGUGGCUCAACCCUAGAAUUGCCGUUGAAACUGGGAGGCUUGAGUAUGUUUGAGGCAGGCGGAAUGCGUGGUGUAGCGGUGAAAUGCUUAGAUAUCACGCAGAACCCCGAUUGCGAAGGCAGCCUGCCAAGCCAUGACUGACGCUGAUGCACGAAAGCGUGGGGAUCAAACAGGAUUAGAUACCCGGGUAGUC